AUAGAAACGCCUUUGAACUUUUGACCGUACACAUUGGCUGCCAGCCACAGACCAGUGGUAUAAACAAACCUAAGAGGAAUCCCAUAGUGUUAGGCUGUUAGCUAAGAGCCACAGCUGAAUGAUAUAAGUAAACAUACUAAAUAGAUGUAUAAACAACAUAUAUAAAAACAAAGAAGAACACAUGUCUACUGGUGUAAAACAAUGAAAGUUUGAAGAUUAAGAUCUUUGGUUCAUACCCAAUUGGGCACACGUGUCAACUCCAUGUAGAUGGUUCUUGAGAAUGGAUUUGUAAUGUAUGUGUUUGGAUGUCAAAUGAAUGAGAAGCCAUAGUUAUGUUCAAGUUGAUUUAUUGGACCUGAAGAAUCUACACUUUAUCGAUAUGAUAUCUAUUGUUCAUGUAGGAAGGUAGGUUUUGAAAAAUGAUAAAAAAAGGAAGAAAGCUCUUUUCUUUUUAUGUAGGUUAAUUCUUGAGAAUGAAUAUUGCAAGUGCAGCAGUCAAAGUCGUCCAAUUGUUUAUUAUAGAUUUGAAUUUUGAUUCUGUAGAUUGCUGGGUUGCAUCCAUGUGUAUUAGUCAAAGUCAUUUGAAUUUUUUCUUACUAGUAACCAUUUGUUCCAUUCAAUAGUUGGUUCUAGUGCAAGCUUAAGAACUUCCAAUGAUAUUGAUGAGUAUUGAGGAGAAAAACUUGAGUUGUGAGAAACACAGCCAAAUUUACUUUAUCCUGGUAGAUUUGUCUCUGAUAACUCACUUCAAAGUUACAUUAUGCCAGGAGAGUUGCAUUUCCAAUAAAUUGCAUAUGGCUGCUUCUUUGUUUAGUGAACACCGGUGGCACAUUGUCUUUAUUGAGUUCGUUCAACAAUUCUCCUCCAUUGUUUUGUGCUUGGAAUUGGAAACUGGAAAAGAACAAUUUGACCAUUAAAGAAGUGAUUGAAAAGGAACCCAAUGUUACCUGUUUAACUGUUUUCCUGUGUAAUCAAGUCCUUAUAGGGAUAGAAUUUUAUUCAUUAAUCAGAUGGUUGAAUCAUACGUCAAAUAUGGGAUGUUUUAAAGGUAAUUUGGACAGCGAUUUCUUAGGUUUUAUUCAGGAAUUCCAGGUGCAAUGAUUCUUACAAAACCUUGAUAUAGGAUUGACUACAGAAGGUUAUACAAAUGAUUAGUCCAAAAAUUGGCUUCACACGCCUAUCAGCCAAAGUUAUGCUAGUAAAUUCCCUAGUGGUGUAUCUUCAAAGAAAAUGUUGAAAGUGUACAGCUAUGUCCAGUCUUUUGCUUUCAAAUUAUGUUAUAUUGCAAAAUUUUGAGGACAAUUGGAGUUUCUAUAUUGGUACAUAAUAGGCAUUUGAGAACAUUAGGCUGAAGUGGAUGAAGUGUUUCCAUGAUAUAUUUGAUUAAAUAAUUGCAUGUGGCUAAUGGCAGUCUGCACACUGAUGAAAACCCCUCAACUAACGGUUGAAAAUAAUAUCAUAGUUGAGAUUUGAAAGUGAUGUGUGGUUUUUUCUUGACUUAUAUGUGAUUAGUGGUCAUGUUAAAUAACCUUUAUUGAUUGUAUGACACUUUUUGCUUCUUACCUCUUUGUUUCUUUUAGUUUUUGAAAUGUUUAUCCUUGUUUCUUGAUUAUCUUAUGCAUAUUUACUGAGAUGGUUGUGUGAAUGCUAUAUUUUAUUAUUAGCUUAAACAUUAUUGAAUACUUCAAGUUUUCUUGUAAUUUUAGUUUUAUCAAUUUAAUUUCAGCGGCCAAGUGCUAAGGAGCUUU
rnacentral:misc_RNA from 1 species